CAAUACCAUCACAUUUCUGGGAGCUCAUCCAGGAUUGGAGAUUUACUGUCUCCUUUGCCUGUGGGACUAGAGCCCCAGGGCCAGGGGAAACCCAGCAUCCAAGGCAUGCCAUGAGGGAGCUUCACCCAGAUGGAAACCAGCUCUCCCCUGAUCCCAGUGCCCUGGCCACUAGUGUAAUGGAACCAGGGAUGGAGCUGCAGGAUGAUACCAGCACUUCAUAAACCAUGAAUCAAGGCCAUCAAGCUACAGAUGGUCUUACAAAUGGAACCCCAAAUGAUUUCAACUAACAACUUCUACUGAGGACCCCUGGACCAACCCACUGGCACUUCACCUGGCCUGGAGAGUUCCCCUCUGAAGGACACCACAACUGCAGGGCCCAUUCUUCACCCCUAUCCAGCAGGAAGUAGCUAGAGCGGUCAUCGGCCAAAUUCCCAACAGCAAUUGGGGUGUCCUGUUUAGAGGGGGGAUUGAGAGGUGAUAGCAUGCUGGCAGUCCUCAGGGCCCUCGCUUGCUCUUGGCACCUCCUCUGCCUGGUCUCCCACUUUGGUGGCACUUGAGGAGCCCUUCAGCCUGCUGCUGCACUGUGGGAGCCCCUUUCUGGGCUGGCCAAGUCUGGAGCCCACUCCCUCAGCUUGCAGGGAAGUGUGCAGGGAGAGGCAUGAGUGGGAACUGGGGCUGCCUGUGGCGCUUGCAGGCCAGCUGGAGUUCUGGGUGGGUGUGGGCUUGGCAGGCCCCACACUUGGAGAGGCCAGCCAGCCCUGCUGGCCCCGGGCAGUGAGGGGCUUAGCACCUGGGCCAGCGGCUGCGGAGGGUGUACUGGGUCCCCCAGCAGUGCCAGCCCACUGGCGCUGUGCUCGAUUUCUCACUGUGUCUUAGUUGCCUUCCCAUGGGGCCGGCCUUGGGACUGCAGCCAGCCAUGCCUGAGACUUCCCCCGCCUCCAUGCAUUCCUGUGCAGCCCAAGCCUCCCUGAUGAAUGCCACCCCCUGCUCCACGGUGCCCAGUCCCAUCGACCACCCAAGAGCUGAGGAGUGCAAGAGCAUGGUGUGGGACUGGUGAAGCCAGCUGGGCUCCUUAGUCUGGUGGGGAUGUGGAGAGUCUUUCUAUCUAGCUCAACAACUCCAGACACACCACCUUAAGAGCUGUAACACUCACCGCGAAGGUCUGCAGCUUCACUCCUGAGCCAGCGAGACCACGAACCCACCAGAAGGAAGAAACUCUGAACACAUCUGAACAUCAGAAGGGACAAACUCCAGAUGUGCCACCUUAAGAGCUGUAACACUCACCACGAGGGUCCGCGGCUUCAUUCUUGAAGUCAGUGAGACCAAGAACCCACCAAUUCUGGACACACAACCACCCUAGGACCCAUAUAGGAGAGGCCCAUUUUGUGAUGUCUACUCCCACUGCUCUUAAAGUUGCAGGUGUCACACCUUGGAUGCACCAUAGUUGGCUGAAACCAGUGGCAGCAGUGACUCCUGAUGAUGACCAGUGGAUUAGCCAACAAGACCCAGAUCACCCCACCCCAAUAGUCCUACAGCAAAACCCAACCACCAGUAAGAAGGACAACUGCCCUGCUCUAACCACACCAGAGGGUGGUCAGUCUACGCAUGGCUGAAGCUUGAGGAUCCUGCAAGCUCUGCUCUAGUCACAUCCCAGAAGCUAACUAGUCUACGUACAGAUGAAGCUAAAAGGACCAUCUCUGGAUAAGUAAAUGUAAAUACAAUUUAUAAGUGUAAUUAUAAUUCUGUCAAUACUGAUUGUUCUGUUGUUAUUACUGCAAAUGCUGCAAACGUCUAUGCCCAGAGGAAGGUUUG
rnacentral:lncRNA from 1 species